UUUCUAUGGCUACAGGGAGGGAGAUGCAACAACAGCCUUGAGAACAUCUGGACUCAAAUAGAACUCUGUUCCAAGUUGCUGUCAGGUUUUAGUGCAGCUGAUGGGACAUACAGAAGAAUGCAGCUAUAGGAAUUGUAGUUGUGGUUCUCAUCUUCUGUCUCUCUGGCUUCAUGUGGUUCAGGGAGACUCAGUCCAGUUUAUGACAACGUCUCAGGCAUGGCGAGCAGGGUGAUGCUGACUACGCCAAUGCCCACCUCUCUUGCUCCAAUAACCAGGAAGUGCCUCUGUACUCCACUGUCCAACCUCCUCAACCCCAGAAAGAGGAUGAGGAUGUCCAGUAUGAUGCUGUGAAAUUUAACUGCCCCAGUCCUGCGAACCGACCUACGGCACAAGAAGCUGAGUAGGACACCCCUCUAGUCAUCAAACCCAGAACCAAGGAGACCACAACCAACAACAAGACCUGAAUACAAGAUGAUAUUGUCUGCAUCCCAAAUGGUACCUUGUUCCCUCUGGUGCACUAUGUAGAGAAUAGGGUAUCAAUUGGGAUGAAGCUGAACACCAGAAGACCUGAACACAAGAUGACAGCCUGGACUCCCAAUCACGGCCGGUUGUGAUACAGCCUGGAAUCAAACUAGGGUCUGUAGUGACACCACUAGCACUGAGAUGCAGUGCUUUAGACCGCUGCGCCACUCGGGAGCCCUACUAUAGGGACUUGGACAAGCUCUACAUGGGUCGCUGGCUCAUGACUUGAGACUGAGCUGUGGCUAUAAGAUUUGCUUUGUAUAUCUGAAAGGGAACACGAUAAUACACCUAA